ACAUCCCUUCAGCCUUCGAAUCCACUGCAUAAUACUGCUUGGUUCCUGUGUUGUUUCUACUUUACAGGCUCAAUGACAGUACUUUCUGUCCCAAAGUCCCGCCGGUGACCUGUGUUGUUUCUGAUGGUGGUAUGUCCUUCACACUUGAUGCUACUGAAGAAUUUUGAAUUCCUAACUUGCUGUUCCAUACACAUAGUGCCUGUCGGUUCUUUUGUCUUAGCCUAUCACGUCUGGACAUACAGCUCAAUUAGCCCCAUUGGUCCUGCUUUUUAUCUUCAAUAAUGCAAAGAAAUACAGGAGUGAUGAACGUUCUCAUAACCCUUCAUUCUAUCAUAUCCUACGAGAAAAUGACAUGAAAUAUACGUGGGUUCGCUGCAGAAAUGUUCAUGUCCUAUAUGCUUGUUAGAAAUGUUACCUUUUACUGAUGGAUUGAAUCAAUUUAACCAUAUAAAUUAUAAAGGAGUGAAGAGCUCGACCCCCUUCCAAUAAAUGUAAAAUGCCACACUCACAUUGAGAGAGAGAGGGAGGGAGAUGGAUUUCAAUCAAGUAACUGAUAAACCUCGUGCUGUUUGCAUACCAUUCCCAGCUCAGGGUCACAUAACCCCAAUGCUAAUAAAGCUAGCAACACCUUCCACAUAACCUUUGUCAAUACUGAGUAUAACCACAAACGACUACUCAAAUCCAGAGGUUCCAGCUCUCUGGAUCGCUUAACGGACUUUCAUUUUGAAGCUAUACCUGAUGGCCUUCCAGAGACAGACGAGUCUGAUGCCACCCAAGACAUCCCUUCAGUCUGCGAAUCCACUGCAGAAUACUGUUUGGUUCCAUUUCGCAAUCUACUUUACAGGCUCAAUGACAGUACUUUCUCUCCCAAAGUCCCGCCGGUGACCUGUGUUGUUUCUGAUGGUGGUAUGUCCUUCACACUUGAUGCUACUGAAGAAUUUUGAAUUCCUAACCUGCUGUUCCAUACACAUAGUGCCUGUGGGUUCUUAGGCUACACAUAGUUCCGUGUUCUUGUUGAAAAAGGUAU
rnacentral:lncRNA from 1 species